ensembl:snRNA U2 U2 spliceosomal RNA
AUCGCUUCUCGGCCUUUUGGCAAAGAUCAAGUGUAGUAUCUGUUCUUAUCAGUUUAAUGCUACUAUGAAAUAUUUGUCUUAGUGCUUAAUCUGCACAUUUUUUCCUGUGGUUCCAUUUACGGCAGAUGAAUUGAGGUGUG